rnacentral:tRNA from 1 species
GCAGGGGUUCCCGAGCGGCCAAAGGGGCAGGACUUAAGAUCCUGUGGCUUAGUGCCUUCGAGGGUUCGAAUCCCUUCCCCUGCA